CCAGACUCCUACGGGAGGCAGCAGUGAGGAAUAUUGGUCAAUGGGCUUACGCCUGAACCAGCCAAGUCGCGUGAGGGAAGACUGCCCUAUGGGUUGUAAACCUCUUUUGUCAGGGAGCAACGCCGGCUACGUGUAGCCGGACUGAGAGUACCUGAAGAAAAAGCAUCGGCUAACUCCGUGCCAGCAGCCGCGGUAAUACGGAGGAUGCGAGCGUUAUCCGGAUUUAUUGGGUUUAAAGGGUGCGUAGGCGGGCUGUUAAGUCAGCGGUCAAAUGUCGGGGCUCAACCCCGGCCUGCCGUUGAAACUGGCGGCCUCGAGUGGGCGAGAAGUAUGCGGAAUGCGUGGUGUAGCGGUGAAAUGCAUAGAUAUCACGCAGAACUCCGAUUGCGAAGGCAGCAUACCGGCGCCCGACUGACGCUGAGGCACGAAAGCGUGGGUAUCGAACAGGAUUAGAUACCCGAGUAC
rnacentral:rRNA from 1 species